rnacentral:tRNA from 1 species
GCGAGCGUGGCGGAAUAGGUAGACGCAACGGACUUAAAAUCCGUCGGGCCUUGUGCCCUUGGGGGUUCAAGUCCCCCCGCUCGCACCA